GCUCCCGUAGUGUAGACCGGCCAAUCUAUUCCUAUUUAAAAUGAUAGGAGUAAGGUUAGGCAUACGGGGCUUUCACCCCCGCGACCCGGGUUCGAAUCCCGGCGGGAGCA
rnacentral:tRNA from 1 species